GUGGGGAAUAUUGGACAAUGGGCGAAAGCCUGAUCCAGCCAUGCCGCGUGUGUGAAGAAGGUCUUCGGAUUGUAAAGCACUUUAAGUUGGGAGGAAGGGCAGUAAGUUAAUACCUUGCUGUUUUGACGUUACCGACAGAAUAAGCACCGGCUAACUUCGUGCCAGCAGCCGCGGUAAUACGAAGGGUGCAAGCGUUAAUCGGAAUUACUGGGCGUAAAGCGCGCGUAGGUGGUUUUGUAAGUUGGAGGUGAAAUCCCCGGGCUCAACCUGGGAACUGCCUCCAAAAAUGCAUGACUAGAGUACGGUAGAGGGUAGUGGAAUUUCCGGUGUAGCGGUGAAAUGCGUAGAUAUAGGAAGGAACACCAGUGGCGAAGGCGACUACCUGGACUGAUACUGACACUGAGGUGCGAAAGCGUGGGGAGCAAACAGGAUUAGAAACCCUAGUAGUCC
rnacentral:rRNA from 1 species